AAAAAAGAAUAUUUCCUUAUUAUUAGACUUGCUUUUCCACCUCAAUUUAUUUUUUUUUAAUUUUAAUUUUUUUUUUCGAGACAAGAUUUCUCUGUGCUGUCCUGGAACUCAAUUUCAUUUUUAAUCUAUUAUGACAUUGACUUUUAUAUCUAUUUUUUAAAUAGAUAGAGUCUAACUAUGUAUCUCUGGCUAGCCUCAGUUUGACCUACCUUUGCCUCCCAAGUACUGGGAUUAAAGGUGUGUGCCACCAACCAUGUCUAAAGAUGCUGACAUUUUUAAAAGCCCUAAUGAACAUUUCAUUUUUAUGUGGAUGAAAUUUCUCUUUAAGAAUGUGAAUGUCGGGCUGGUGAGAUGGCUCAGUGGGUAAGAGCACCCGACUGCUCUUCUGAAGGUCAGGAGUUCAAAUCCCAGCAACCACAUGGUGGCUCACAACCACCCGUAACGAGAUCUGACUCCCUCUUCUGGUGUGUCUGAAGACAACUACAGUGUACUUACAUAUAAUAAAUAAAUAAAUCUUUACAAAAAAAAAAAAAAGAAUGUGAAUGUCUUGUUAGGCACAGUGACAUUAAGAUCAAGAAUUUGAGGUCAUGCUCAGCUGCAUAUGGAGUUUGAGUCUGGGCUACGGGAGACCUUUAUUUCAAAAGUAUUUUUUUUAAACCAUAUUCAGUUAAAAAAAAAAAAAGGCAUUAAGAUCCGGGUGUGGUGGCACAUGUUUUUAAUCCUAGCACUAGGAAGUCAGAGGCAGGUGGAUCUCUGUGAGUUUGAGGCCAGCCUAGUCUACAUAGAAAGUUCCAGGACAGCCAGGACUAUUAUACAGAGAAACCCUAUCUUGAAAACAAAACAACAAAACAAAACUCAUGAAGAGACUGGAGAGGUGUUUAUCAGUUAUAAGCACUUAGUGCUCUUGCAGAGACCCAGGUUCAGUUCCUAGCGCCCACAUCAGGUAACUUCCUGGUGAUCUAUCACCCUUUUCUGGCCUGUUUGGGCACUGCAAGUAUGUGGUACACAUGUAUUCUCACACACACACACACACACACACACACACACACACACACACACCUACCUACCUACCUAUGUAAUUUAAAAAUAAUAAAUCUUUGUUUUUAAUGUUUAA
rnacentral:lncRNA from 1 species